UCUCUCCUGAUCUCAGCAGAGAGGGUACCU
rnacentral:piRNA from 1 species